UGAUACGUCGAGUUCGAAGCUAUCAAUCAGUUAGUUUCGUUUCUGAUGGUAAAAUCUUCAUCAUUUUCCGAAUGGAGAAGGAGACGAUCCUUGCGAAACACGGAUCAGAGGUAGUGAUCGGUGCUACCAUCAACGACAAAGAUGAAGAGAAGCCGAAGAUCUCGAGUUUCUAAGCUGCAUGAUGCAGCCGGCAACAGCCGAGUCAGAUCCACAGUACAUCGGAAUCCGCCGAAUUCUUCUCCACCGGAAAUCAGAAUCCGGCGCCAUCUCUCGUCGUUAUGCGAGCUCUCUUUAACUUCUCACUUCAAAACGUUGAGCUUGCUAUCUGAUUUGAUUGUUGUUUCGUUGAAGGAUUGGAGAUGCAAUGGUAAAUGAUAUGUUGCGUAUCGUAAUUUCAUAAGCAGACCUAGAAAAUGGGAGAAUCUGAGAACGCCAAGCCUCUUAAGUAGUCCAGGGAACAGUGGUCGAUGGUUACCUUCACCAGGUCCACUCUCCCAUCAAUUUGAAGCAGAGAGCUUCAGUUCUAGUAGAGAUUUACGGAGUGCUAAUCAGGUUUCGAGCCGAAGAUUGAGUUUUAGCUCGAGUUUGAGUGAUGGUGAUCAUUCCUUUCGCCGUGGUGGUGGUGGUUUUGAACAUGCUUAUUCUUUUCUGGGAAUGCAUUGCAUCUUCAACCAAUGCAAAUCUUCUGGUAUUUUCUUACAUCUUGUUUUGGAUUUAAUCGACUUGGUUUGUGAUUUUUCUUCGUGGAAUGACUCUUCACUCUUUUGUGUCUCUUAUGUGGUUACUGUU